rnacentral:rRNA from 1 species
UACGUAGGUGGCAAGCGUUGUCCGGAUUUAUUGGGUUUAAAGGGUGCGUAGGCGGUUAUAUAAGUCAGUGCUGAAAUAUCCCGGCUUAACCGGGAGAGUGGCAUUGAUACUGUAUGACUUGAGUAGAGUUGAGGUUGGCGGAAUUGACGGUGUAGCGGUGAAAUGCUUAGAUAUCGUCAAGAACACCGAUAGUGAAGACAGCUAACUAAGCCCUAACUGACGCUGAGGCACGAAAGUGUGGGGAUCAAACAGG